rnacentral:rRNA from 1 species
AUUGAACGCUGUCGGCAGGCCUAACACAUGCAAGUCGAGCGGAUGAAGGGAGCUUGCUCCUGGAUUCAGCGGCGGACGGGUGAGUAAUGCCUAGGAAUCUGCCUGGUAGUGGGGGAUAACGUCCGGAAACGGGCGCUAAUACCGCAUACGUCCUGAGGGAGAAAGUGGGGGAUCUUCGGACCUCACGCUAUCAGAUGAGCCUAGGUCGGAUUAGCUAGUUGGUGGGGUAAAGGCCUACCAAGGCGACGAUCCGUAACUGGUCUGAGAGGAUGAUCAGUCACCACUGAACUGAGGCACGGGCCAGACUCCCACGGGAGGCAAGAGUGGGGAAUAUUUGGAAAUGGGGGGAAGCCUGAUCCAAGCAAGGCGGGUGGUGUGAGAAGGUCUUCGGAUUGUAAAGCACUUUUAGUUGGGAGGAAGGGCAGUAAGUUAAUACCUUGCUGUUUUGACGUUACCAACAGAAUAAGCACCGGCUAACUUCGUG